AUUGAACGCUGGCGGCAGGCCUAACACAUGCAAGUCGAGCGGAUGAAGGGAGCUUGCUCCUGGAUUCAGCGGCGGACGGGUGAGUAAUGCCUAGGAAUCUGCCUGGUAGUGGGGGAUAACGUCCGGAAACGGGCGCUAAUACCGCAUACGUCCUGAGGGAGAAAGUGGGGGAUCUUCGGACCUCACGCUAACAGAUGAGCCUAGGUCGGAUUAGCUAGUUGGUGGGGUAAAGGCCUACCAAGGCGACGAUCCGUAACUGGUCUGAGAGGAUGAUCAGUCACACUGGAACUGAGGCACGGUCCAGACUCCUACGGGAGGCAGCAGUGGGGAAUAUUGGACAAUGGGCGAAAGCCUGAUCCAGCAAUGCCGCGUGUGUGAAGAAGGUCUUCUGAUUGUAAAGCACUUUAAGUUGGGAGGAAGGGCAGUAAGUUAAUACCUUGCUGUUUUGACGUUACCAACAGAAUAAGCACCGGCUAACUUCGUG
rnacentral:rRNA from 1 species